CAGAGACUAAACAAUGUUUAUGUGAUAAUGAUCAUGUGUUUUUAUUUCUUUCAAAUAGAACUGGAGUUAUCAACGACAAAUCACAAUGAGUAUUUUAUAAUCAUAUAUCUGAUGAAUUGUUUUGCAGAUUUGACUGGUAAUUUUUAACAAUUAACCUUUCAAUCUCUUAAUAACUCUAUAUUCUGUACAUUGACAACAAUAACACUGAGUUGACACAUUGUCUUAGCCCACUAAAAUGCAGAUGAUUUUAACAACAGAAAACAACAAUCACACGCUGAGCAUAAGCUGUGCAGUUCUAAUGAAACAUUACAAGUAUGAAAGAAAAAACCCAUGAAAUAAAAAUCUCUUUCUAUGGCUGACAUUUAAUGGGGCAUCAUGUGGUCAGUACAACAAUCAACCGCCA